rnacentral:rRNA from 1 species
UACGGAGGAUGCGAGCGUUAUCCGGAUUUAUUGGGUUUAAAGGGUGCGUAGGCGGGCUGUUAAGUCAGCGGUCAAAUGUCGGGGCUCAACCCCGGCCUGCCGUUGAAACUGGUGGCCUCGAGUGGGCGAGAAGUAUGCGGAAUGCGUGGUGUAGCGGUGAAUUGCAUAGAUAUCACGCAGAACUCCGAUUGCGAAGGCAGCAUACCGGCGCCCGACUGACGCUGAGGCACGAAAGCGUGGGUAUCGAACAGG